rnacentral:rRNA from 1 species
GUGAGACAGGUGCUGCAUGGCUGUCGUCAGCUCGUGUUGUGAAAUGUUGGGUUAAGUCCCGCAACGAGCGCAACCCUUAUCCUUUGUUGCCAGCGGUCCGGCCGGGAACUCAAAGGAGACUGCCAGUGAUAAACUGGAGGAAGGUGGGGAUGACGUCAAGUCAUCAUGGCCCUUACGACCAGGGCUACACACGUGCUACAAUGGCGCAUACAAAGAGAAGCGACCUCGCGAGAGCAAGCGGACCUCAUAAAGUGCGUCGUAGUCCGGAUUGGAGUCUGCAACUCGACUCCAUGAAGUCGGAAUCGCUAGUAAUCGUGGAUCAGAAUGCCACGGUGAAUACGUUCCCGGGCCUUGUACACACCGCCCGUCACACCAUGGGAGUGGGUUGCAAAAGAAGUAGGUAGCUUAACCUUCGGGAGGGCGCUUACCACUUUGUGAU